rnacentral:rRNA from 1 species
AGAGUUUGAUCAUGGCUCAGGACGAACGCUGGCGGCGUGCUUAAUACAUGCAAGUCGAGCGGAGCUUAUGAUGAAGCUUGCGAUUCAUAAGUCGAGCGGCGGACGGGUGAGUAACGCGUGGGCAAUCUGCCCUCUAGCCUGGGAUAACAGUUCGAAAGGACUGCUAACACCGGAUAAUGUGAUACCAAGGCAUCUUGGAA